GACGAACGCUGGCGGCGUGCUUAACACAUGCAAGUCGAACGGAAAGGCCCUGCUUUUGUGGGGUGCUCGAGUGGCGAACGGGUGAGUAACACGUGAGUAACCUGCCCUUGACUUUGGGAUAACUUCAGGAAACUGGGGCUACUACCGGAUAGGAGCUCCUGCUGCAUGGUGGGGGUCGGAAAGUUUCGGCGGUUGGGGAUGGACUCGGGGCUUAUCAGCUUGUUGGUGGGGUAGUGGCUUACCCAGGCUUUGACGGGUAGCCGGCCUGGGAGGGGGGCCGGCCACAUUGGGACUGAGAUACGGACCAGACUCCUAUGUGAGGCAGCAGUGGGGAAUAUUGCACAAUGGGCGGAAGCCUGAUGCAGCAGCGCCGCGUGCGGGAUGACGGCCUUCGGGUUGUAAACCGCUUUCGCCUGUGACGAAGCGGGAUUGACGGUAAUGGGUAAAGAAGCACCGGCUAACUACGUG
rnacentral:rRNA from 1 species